UUCCUGGCAGAUUAAAACUGUGUGCCGGACCGAGACUCGAACUCAGAACCGAGUUCGAGUCUCAGUCCGGCACACAGUUUUAAUCUGCCAGGAAGUUUCAACUUCAAGGUAAUAUUAUAGAAAUGA